rnacentral:rRNA from 1 species
CUUGGUCAUUUAGAGGAAGUAAAAGUCGUAACAAGGUUUCCGUAGGUGAACCUGCGGAAGGAUCAUUACAGAGUUCAUGCCCUUACGGGUAGAUCUCCCACCCUUGAAUAUUAUACCUUUGUUGCUUUGGCGGGCCGCUUCGGCUACCGGCUACGGCUGGUGAGUGCCCGCCAAAGGACCCCCAAACUCUGAAUUAUAGUGUCGUCUGAGUACUAUAUAAUAGUUAAAACUUUCAACAACGGAUCUCUUGGUUCUGGCAUCGAUGAAGAACGCAGCGAAAUGCGAUAAGUAAUGUGAAUUGCAGAAUUCAGUGAAUCAUCGAAUCUUUGAACGCACAUUGCGCCCUUUGGUAUUCCGGGGGGCAUGCCUGUCCGAGCGUCAUUACAACCCUCAAGCUCAGCUUGGUAUUGGGCGCGGUCGAGUGACCCGUCCGCAACCCGUUGGCGGCGCAGUCCGGCUUCAAGCGUAGCAAUUCUUCUCGCUCUGGAGGUCCGGUCGUGUGCUCGCCAGCAACCCCCAAUAUUUUUCAGGUUGACCUCGGAUCAGGUAGGGAUACCCGCUGAACUUAAGCAUAUCAAUAAGCGGAGG